rnacentral:rRNA from 1 species
UGGCGGACGGUGAGUAACGCGUGGGUAACCUGCCCUGUACAGGGGGACAACAGUUAGAAAUGACUGCUAAUACCGCAUAAGCGCACAGGACCGCAUGGUCCGGUGUGAAAAACUCCGGUGGUACAGGAUGGACCCGCGUCUGAUUAGGUAGUUGGCGGGGUAACGGCCCACCAAGCCGACGAUCAGUAGCCGACCUGAGAGGGUGACCGGCCACAUUGGGACUGAGACACGGCCCAAACUCCUACGGAAGGCAGCAG